GGGAUCGAUGCCGGCGACGAUGGAGGUGAGCUCGAUGCUAGCACCAGUGGCGGCCGACACGCAGGCGGCCGGGAUCCGGCUCGUGCAGCUUCUCAUGGCCUGCGCGGAAGCCGUGCAGCAGGAGAAUCUCGAUGCGGCGAUGGUGCUGGUGAACCAGAUCCCGACGCUUGCUGCCUCGCAGGGCGGCGCGAUGCGCAAGGUCGCCGGGUUCUUCGCCGACGCGCUGCUGCGGCGGAUCUACCGGCAGCUCCCGCAGCCGGACUGCUCCGUAGACUCCGCCUUCACGGACAUCCUCCACAUGCACUUCUACGAGUCAUGCCCUUAUCUCAAGUUCGCCCACUUCACCGCAAAUCAAGCUAUUCUAGAAGCCUUCGCCGGCUGCCGCCGCGUGCACGUGAUCGAUUUCGGGAUGAAGCAG
rnacentral:misc_RNA from 1 species